rnacentral:rRNA from 1 species
AGAACGAACGCUGGCGGCAUGCCUAACACAUGCAAGUCGAACGAGACCCCAAGUCUUCGGAUGGCGGGUUAGUGGGCGGCGACGGUAGCGUAACGCGUGGGAAUCUGCCCCUUGGUUCGGAAUAACAGUUAGAAAUGACUGCUAAUACCGGAUGACGACGUAAGUCCAAAGAUUUAUCGCCGAGGGAUGAGCCCGCGUAGGAUUAGCUAGUUGGUGAGGUAAUGGCUCACCAAGGCGACGAUCCUUAGCUGGUCUGAGAGGAUGAUCAGCCACACUGGGACUGAGACACGGCCCAGACUCCUACGGGAGGCAGCAGUGGGGAAUAUUGGACAAUGGGCGAAAGCCUGAUCCAGCAAUGCCGCGUGAGUGAUGAAGGCCUUAGGGUUGUAAAGCUCUUUUACCAGGGAUGAUAAUGACAGUACCUGGAGAAUAAGCUCCGGCUAACUCCGCGCCAGCAGCCGCGGUAA